rnacentral:lncRNA from 1 species
AGCGGUUAGGAGGGCGGGGCGCGUGCGCGCGCACCUCGCUCACGCGCCGGCGCGCUCCUUUUGCAGGCUCGUGGCGGUCGGUCAGCGGGGCGUUCUCCCACCUGUAGCGACUCAGAGCCUCCAAGCUCAUGGCCUCCUUAGGAGCGAACCCAAGGAGGACACCGCAGGGACCGAGACCUGGGGCGGCCUCCUCCGGCUUCCCCAGCCCGGCCCCAGUGCCGGGCCCCAGGGAGGCCGAGGAGGAGGAAGUCGAGGAGGAGGAGGAGCUGGCCGAGAUCCAUCUGUGUGUGCUGUGGAAUUCAGGAUACUUGGGCAUUGCCUACUAUGAUACUAGUGACUCCACUAUCCACUUCAUGCCAGAUGCCCCAGACCACGAGAGCCUCAAGCUUCUCCAGAGAGUUCUGGAUGAGAUCAAUCCCCAGUCUGUUGUUACGAGUGCCAAACAGGAUGAGAAUAUGACUCGAUUUCUGGGAAAGCUUGCCUCCCAGGAGCACAGAGAGCCUAAAAGACCUGAAAUCAUAUUUUUGCCAAGUGUGGAUUUUGGUCUGGAGAUAAGCAAACAACGCCUCCUUUCUGGAAACUACUCCUUCAUCCCAGACGCCAUGACUGCCACUGAGAAAAUCCUCUUCCUCUCUUCCAUUAUUCCCUUUGACUGCCUCCUCACACCCCCAGGAGAUUUAAGAUUUACCCCGAUUCCACUGCUGAUCCCCUCCCAGGUUCGAGCACUUGGAGGGCUGCUGAAGUUCCUGGGUCGAAGAAGAAUCGGGGUUGAACUGGAAGACUAUAAUGUCAGCGUCCCCAUCCUGGGCUUUAAGAAAUUUAUGUUGACUCAUCUGGUGAACAUAGAUCAAGACACUUACAGUGUUCUACAGAUUUUUAAGAGUGAGUCUCACCCCUCAGUGUACAAAGUGGCCAGUGGACUGAAGGAGGGGCUCAGCCUCUUUGGAAUCCUCAACAGAUGCCACUGUAAGUGGGGAGAGAAGCUGCUCAGGCUAUGGUUCACACGUCCGACUCAUGACCUGGGGGAGCUCAGUUCUCGUCUGGACGUCAUUCAGUUUUUUCUGCUGCCCCAGAAUCUGGACAUGGCUCAGAUGCUGCAUCGGCUCCUGGGUCACAUCAAGAACGUGCCUCUGAUUCUGAAACGCAUGAAGUUGUCCCACACCAAGGUCAGCGACUGGCAGGUUCUCUACAAGACUGUGUACAGUGCCCUGGGCCUGAGGGAUGCCUGCCGCUCCCUGCCGCAGUCCAUCCAGCUCUUUCGGGACAUUGCCCAAGAGUUCUCUGAUGACCUGCACCAUAUCGCCAGCCUCAUUGGGAAAGUAGUGGACUUUGAGGGCAGCCUUGCUGAAAAUCGCUUCACAGUCCUCCCCAACAUAGAUCCUGAAAUUGAUGAGAAAAAGCGAAGACUGAUGGGACUUCCCAGUUUCCUUACUGAGGUUGCCCGCAAGGAGCUGGAGAAUCUGGACUCCCGUAUUCCUUCAUGCAGUGUCAUCUACAUCCCUCUGAUUGGCUUCCUUCUUUCUAUUCCCCGCCUGCCUUCCAUGGUAGAGGCCAGUGACUUUGAGAUUAAUGGACUGGACUUCAUGUUUCUCUCAGAGGAGAAGCUGCACUAUCGUAGUGCCCGAACCAAGGAGCUGGAUGCAUUGCUGGGGGACCUGCACUGCGAGAUCCGGGACCAGGAGACGCUGCUGAUGUACCAGCUACAGUGCCAGGUGCUGGCACGAGCAGCUGUCUUAACCCGAGUAUUGGACCUUGCCUCCCGCCUGGACGUCCUGCUGGCUCUUGCCAGUGCUGCCCGGGACUAUGGCUACUCAAGGCCGCGUUACUCCCCACAAGUCCUUGGGGUACGAAUCCAGAAUGGCAGACAUCCUCUGAUGGAACUCUGUGCCCGAACCUUUGUGCCCAACUCCACAGAAUGUGGUGGGGACAAAGGGAGGGUCAAAGUCAUCACUGGACCCAACUCAUCAGGGAAGAGCAUAUACCUCAAACAGGUAGGCUUGAUCACAUUCAUGGCCCUGGUAGGCAGCUUUGUGCCAGCAGAGGAGGCCGAAAUUGGGGCAGUAGACGCCAUCUUCACACGAAUUCAUAGCUGCGAAUCCAUCUCCCUUGGCCUCUCCACCUUCAUGAUCGACCUCAACCAGGUGGCGAAAGCAGUGAACAAUGCCACUGCACAGUCGCUGGUCCUUAUUGAUGAAUUUGGAAAGGGAACCAACACGGUGGAUGGGCUCGCGCUUCUGGCCGCUGUGCUCCGACACUGGCUGGCACGUGGACCCACAUGCCCCCACAUCUUUGUGGCCACCAACUUUCUGAGCCUUGUUCAGCUACAACUGCUGCCACAAGGGCCCCUGGUGCAGUAUUUGACCAUGGAGACCUGUGAGGAUGGCAACGAUCUUGUCUUCUUCUAUCAGGUUUGCGAAGGUGUUGCGAAGGCCAGCCAUGCCUCCCACACAGCUGCCCAGGCUGGGCUUCCUGACAAGCUUGUGGCUCGUGGCAAGGAGGUCUCAGACUUGAUCCGCAGUGGAAAACCCAUCAAGCCUGUCAAGGAUUUGCUAAAGAAGAACCAAAUGGAAAAUUGCCAGACAUUAGUGGAUAAGUUUAUGAAACUGGAUUUGGAAGAUCCUAACCUGGACUUGAACGUUUUCAUGAGCCAGGAAGUGCUGCCUGCUGCCACCAGCAUCCUCUGAGAGUCCUUCCAGUGUCCUCCCCAGCCUCCUGAGACUCCGGUGGGCUGCCAUGCCCUCUUUGUUUCCUUAUCUCCCUCAGACGCAGAGUUUUUAGUUUCUCUAGAAAUUUUGUUUCAUAUUAGGAAUAAAGUUUAUUUUGAAGAAAGAUAUUGUUUCUUUAGUCUCAAAACAAGAGACUAGGAAAGAUCCAAAACACAGAGCAGGAGUCCACAGGGGAACCUGCCCUGCCUCAGUAAAAAUACAGUGUUGUUGCUGUAGGAAGACUCCCGGAUUCUACCCCAGGAUACUUCAUGAGAACGAACCCCUUCAGAGAGGCCCUACAAAACAGAUUAGAGGGAAGACAGAGGGGUCCAAGGGAGAUGGUCUCUCUUCUCAAGUAGGAACACCCCAGCCUCAGACAGACACAGCAGGAAGGGGCCUGAGAGGCUGACAGAGGCAGGAUGGGUGCAAGGCAGGGGUGGAGGGGAGGGACCAGCCCGGGCUGCACCAGUGGGAGUGGCUCCACCCUUCCCACCUCAGAGCCAUGGGGAGCCAGGGCUCUGGCGGGGUGCCCUUGGUGCAGGCUCCCUACACAGUCCUGCUGCUGCCGCUGGGGACAAGCCGCCAAGACCCAGGGGCCCAGAGCUUCUUCCUUUGGCUACGCAGGAUGCAGGCUCUGGAGAGAGAACAGGAUGCCCUGUGGCAGGGUCUGGAGCUGCUACAGCAUGGCCAGGCCUGGUUUGAAGACCAUCUGAGGGAGGCACAGCGACAGCAGCUGCAUCUAGGGGCCCUUGGUGAGAAUUUUCUAACAGAUUUACACUCAGAGCCUGGUCGCCCCCCGUUAGCCCAGAUUCAAAAGGUGAACAUCUGUUUGCAGAAUCUGAUUCAUGAGAAGUUCUCCCCAAGUCCACUGAACAAGGCUAGUUCCUGCACCACCCAGGAUUCAAAGGAAAGACGAAGGGAGCAGAACUUGUGGCAGCAACAGGAGUUGUCAAGGCAGCAGAAAGGAGUCACCCAGCCAAAGGAGGAGAUGGCUCAGCGGGGCUGCACCAAGGGGCCAAGAGGCCCUACCCGUGUCUAAACCCUCCUCUCACUCCCCUAAGCCUGGUGAAAGAGUCAGAAGCCCCAGGCUCCUUUUUCUGUUUCUUAACUCAACAGCUAAAAAAUGGCUCCAGGUAGUGAGUCAAUGAAGUUCAGACAUGUUGGUGUAAAGUUUCUCCUCUGCUCCUGAAAACUUCAUCUUCUUGGUGUCUCAUGUCCUCAUUCUCCCCUAUAUGACAUGCAAAAACGAUCUUUCUUUGAAAUCCCUCUGGGAAGAAGCAUGUUUAUUGAAACUGUCCUUCAGCCUUAAAUACAAAAAUAAAACUGAAACUGCUCCAGAAAGCAGCUUUCUCCAAAAAAAAAAAA